CGGAGAUCUCACCUUGGCCCCCAUGUCACGACUCUUGGCCCGCAGCUUGUUGACCUGCGACUCAGCCAUGUCGGCACGUUCCUCCGCCUCAUCCAGUUCAUGCUGAGCCUUGCGGAACUUGGCCAGCGCCACGGCUUCUCUCAUCACUCACCGCCUCCUCUGCCUGCCGCUUGUAGGCCUUGACCUUCAACUGGAGCUUGUCCACCAGGUCCUGGAGCCUGACGAGGUUCUUGCGGUCCUCCUCUGCCUGUGAGGUGAGACACGGGUGGGCGCUGGUGUCCUGCUCCUUUUUCAGCUCCUCUGCCAUCAUGGCCGCCUGUCCCAGGGAGAAGCAACCAGAGAAGAAGGUGCAAGGCAUGUUCUCCAUCACUCUAUGGUGGAAGGUGUCCUAGACAUCAGUCCCACCACAGCACUCACAUCAGUGAUGGCCUUUUUGGCCUUUUCCUCGGCGUUCCUGCACUCCUGGAUGGCAUCUUCCACCUCUGUCUGCAGCUGAGAGAUGUCCACCUCCAUCUUCUUCUUCUGGUUGAUGAGGCUGGUAUUCUGGAGAUGGAGGAGAGGAUCUCAGAGGUGGCUGUGGGGCUGCUGCCCCAUUCUUCUCAAGCCCCACAGCACUUAGAGCCCUCCUGUCAUUUCUGCAGACUUCAAGGAUCUCCAGAUGGAGGAGAUCCUUGGUAACUCCACCCAGAAGAUGACCACACCCAGGGUUUCUCCAGGGUUUGAGUGUCCCUUGGAGGAACAUGAGAUCUCACUUGUGAGUGGAGAAGCUGGACUCUCUCGCUGGCCUCGAUCAGUUCCUGUUCGGCCAACUUGCGAGCCCUCUCGGUCUGCUCCACUACCGCCCGUAGCUCCUCCAGCUCUGACUGCAGGAGGUUAUUCCUCCUCUCCACAAUGGCAAUGUUCUCCUUCAGGUCCUCAUUGACCCGGACCAUGUCAUCCAACUGCAACUGGGUGUCCUACAAGGCAGUGUGGGGGAAAGACAAUGAGUGGGGAUGGUGGAGAAGGGGAUAGAGGUCCACCCAACUGCCACCAAGGAGUGCUGUGACCAGCCACCCCUCAACUCCUAAUGGGACAGCUGUCCCAUGGGUACCUUGAGGCAGCCCUGCAACAUCUUGACUUGCUUCUGGGCCUCAGCUGCCACCCGGUUGGCAUGGCUGAGCUGGAUCUCCAUCUCAUUGAGGUCGCCCUCCAUCUUCUUCUUCAGCCUCAGGGCCUCAUUGCGGCUCCGUGUCUCAGCAUCCAGAGAGGUCUGCAGUGAGUCCACCACCCGCAGGUGGUUGCGCUUGGCCUGCUCCAUCUCCUCGUCCUUCUCGGCCAGCUUGCGCUCGUAGUCUGCCUUGACCUGGUUGAACUCUAACUGGGCCCUCAAGAUCUUCCCCUCCUCAUGCUCCAGAGAGGCCUGGGGAGGGGACAGACAGGAUGUUGAGGACCAGAGAUGACCAGGAGAACAUGGGGAUACAUGAGGAUGUGGCUUGGCUCACCUCAGCCUCCUCCAGAGCAGCUUGGAGCUCCAGCUUCUCGGCAUCCAACUGCUUCCGGACCUUCUCCAGCUCAUGGAUGGUCUUGUGGCUGGCACCCAGCUGCUCCGUGAGGUCCGAGAUCUCCUCUACCCAGCACUCUUCAACAAGGGCUUGAUCUUGAAGUAGAGCUUCAUCCAAGGCCAGUUCUUCACCCCCAUGAAGGCCCUGAUGUUCCACUGAAUCACCAGAAGUGAGUCCCUGGGUGGGGCAAAGCAGGAUGUGGGUGACCAGGGACCUCCACCCAAUGUGGACCCACUACCGCCUCUACCCCACCACCCACCGACGCUCCAGGAUCUUCUUGAAUUCCUGCCGGGAGAGGAAUCCACGGACUUGGGCCUGCAAGCGGGUCAUGAUCCGGGCCAGGCGCUCGUCCCUCAUCUCCUCCAACAGCCCCAGCAGCCCAGCCUUGAAGAAGACCUUUGAGGAGAGAUGAAGUCCACUUACAGGUCUCGAUGUCAGCUGAUGCCAACUUUCCAGUGGCCCCAAAAUGGAUCCGGAUGAACUUCCCCUGGAGAGCAGUGUCUUGAAGUGAAGUGCCCUGACCUUGCCUGGGGACCCCGUCUCCUUCUUGCCGCGGUCGCCGAUGGCAGCGAUGACAGCGAAGUACUGGAUGACCCUCUUGGUGUUCACCGUCUUCCCCGCCCCGGAUUCUCCGCUGGGGGAAGCCAAUGAGAGCGAGAUGUUGUGGUCAUGGCCAGGCCCCACCCACCUUGCCGUGCUCUGUCUGGGCGGUGACCUUGGUGCCCUCACGGGUGAUGAUGGUGGCCUUGACAAACUCCUCCUUCUCAUCAGGGACGAAGAUAUCCUUCUUCAGGUCGAAGGGGCGGGUCUGGGCGGCCACACGCUCCUUCUCCGAUUUGCGGAGAUAGGGAGCGGCCUCCCCAAAUUCGGCCAUUUCCACGUCAGGCAUGGUGGCACUGGUUGGGGCAGGGGGACUCAGACCUUCCCAGUUCCUCCCUCUUGGCCCCAUCCCAAGUCCCUCCUUGGUGGUUCCACCAUCUCCAGUUCCUUCAGGGUGCUCUCAGACCUCCUGGUUACCCCACUCCAAGUCCUUGGUGGUCCCAACCCCAUCCCCAUUCCUCCUUGGUGGACCACAUUCCUCUCCAGUGCUCCCAGUUCCUCCCCAGUGCUCCCAGUUUGCCCCAUCCCAAGUCCCUUCAUGGUGGUCACAUCAUCUGUUCUUCCCCAGUGCUCCCAGUUCCUCCAAGAUGCUCCCAGUUUCUGCUGGUUGACCCAUCCCCAUCCAAGUCCAUCCUUGGUGGUCCCAGUUCCUCUCAAGUUCUCCCCAUUUCUUCUCAGUGCUUCCAAUCUUCCCAGUUGGCCCCAUCCCAAGUCCCUUCUUGAUGGUCCCACCAUGUCUGGUUCCUUCCCAGUGCUCCCAGUUCCUCCCAGUUGGCCCUGUCUCCAUCCCAAGUCCCUCCCUGGGGUUCUCAGUUCCUCCCCAGUGUUCCCAGUCUCCCCAUAGCUGAGCUCAGUUCCCCCACAGACCAUCCCAGUCUCAUCCCACUCCCUCCCAGUUCCCCCCAGUCCCCUUUCACACCCCUCAGUCCCUCCCAGUUCCCUCCCGGUGCUUCCAGUUCCCAGCCCCACCUCUCUCUGUGGUCUCGGCGGGGGGACAGUGCUGACUCGGGGUCUCUUGUCCUGGUCCGGAACACAACAACCCCCCCAGUAUGCCCCAACAUCCCCCCACAGCUUCGCCAGUACUUCCCCAGUACCUCCUUUGUUCCACCCAGUAUGUCCCAGUAUCCCCCAGGAUUUCUCCAGUGCCUGCCCCUGCCCCAGCACAACCCAGUCCCUUCCAGUUCCCCCACAGACCCUCCCAGUCUCAUCCCACUCCUUCCCCAUUCCCCUAUAGACACUCUCAGUCCCUGCUGGUCUCAUCCGUCCCUUCCAGUUCCCCCAUAGACCCUCCCAGUCCCUCCCAGUUUCCCUAUAGACCCCUCCCAGUUCCACUCCAGUCCCUCCCAGUUCCCCACAGACCCCUCCCAGUGCCUCCCAGUUUCCUUAUGGAUCCUCCCAGUCCCUCCCAAUUUCCCACAGAGCCUUCCAGUCUCUCCCAGUCCCUCCCAGUUUCCCUGUAGACCCUCCAAGUCCCUCCAGUUUUCCCCACAGACCCUUCCAGUCCCUCCCAGUUCCCCCAUAGGCUCUCCCAGUCCCUCCCAGUUUCCCUAUAGACCCCUCCCAGUUCCACUCCAGUCCCUCCCAGUUCCCCAUAGACCCCUCCCAGUGCCUCCCAGUUUCCUUAUAGAUCCUCCCAGUCCCUCCCAGUUCCCCAUAGGCCCUCCCAGUGCCUCCCAGUCUCCCUAUAGACCCUCCCAGUCUCCCCAUAAGACCCUCCCAGUGCCCCCUGCCCCACCUGCCCGUGGGUCUGCGGGUGCUGGCCGGGGCACCCCUGUUAUAUCCGCCUCCCCCCGACCUGCGUCACCAUGAAGGGGAUGGACGUGCCACCUCAAGGCCACCCCAUGGGGACACGGUGACCCCUAUGGAUCUACAACCCACCCCCAGCCUCAUAGGGCCCCCCCCAGCCACAUCAGACCCCCCCUGCCCCAUCAGACCCCACCUGCCCCAUAGUCCUAUAGGACUCCUCCAGCCCCAUGGAGUCCUAGUGAUCCCCUAUGGAUCUAUAGGGUGGUCGCCAGUUCCAUAGGUCCCAGUCCCAUAGGACUCACUCCCAGCCCCCCUGCCCCUUAGGACCCACACUCAGCCCCAUAGAACUAUAUCUGCCUCUAUAGGACCUCUAUAGCUCCUCACAGCCCCAUAGGACCCUCCAAGCCCCAUAGAAUCCCACUAACAGCCCUAUAGGGGCCCCCUUAAGCCCCCCCACCCCGUUUAUAACGGGUUGGAUGAGGCAAGACAAAAGGCACGCCCGGACGCCUGGGUCCCCCCGGGGUGGAGGACAGACAGACAGACAAAGGACAGGUGGGAACCCUCCCCCCGCUUCAAAGCGAACCCAGGCGUCCGGGCCCCUCCCCCCAGCCCUUUGUUCCCCCCCCUCCCCCCACAAUAGGAUAUUUUUGGGACCCCCCGACACCCGAUCAGCUCAUGAUGUCAGUGGGGCACCUUCAUCCUAUGGCCAUAUAUGGGGCUGGCCCUAUAGAUCCCCCGCCCCAUAACCCACCUAAGAAUAGCCGAGGGGACCCAGGCGUCCGGGAACCCCUCCAUCCCCCACCCCGGGGGACCCAGGCACUUGAAUUUUCCCAAAUUUUCCCAAUAUCCCCCCAUUUUUCCUGAUUUUUCCCCAAAUUUCCUCAAUUUUCCCCUGAUUUCCACAAAUUUCCCCCCAAAUUUCACCGCUUUUCUCCUGAUUUACCCCCAAUUUCCCCCAUAUUACCUGAAUUUCCCCCCUUUCCCCCCAAAUUUCUCCUCCAAUCCCUGCAUUUCCUGUUUCCCCCGUACUUCCCCAAAUUUCCUGUUUCCCCUGAUUUUACCGCAAUUUCCUCUAAUUUCCCCCAUUUUCCCCCUGAAUUUUCUUAUUUCUCCCCCAAUUCGCUCCCCCAUUCAAAUUUCCUCUUUUCACCCAAUUCCCCAAAUUCUCCCAGAUUUUCCCCUUAAUCCUCCCUAAUUUUCCCCUCAUUUCUCCUGUAAUCCUUCCUAAUUUUCCCCAAAUUACCUGUUUUCUUAUUUCACCAAAUGUUGCUCAUUUCCCCUCAAUACCACCUAAUUUCCCUCUGCAUUUCACCUACCUCCCCCCCAAAUUUUCCCCCAAUUUCUCCGAUAAUUCUCAAUUUCCCCCACAUUUCCUCUGCUUUUCCCCUUAUUCCCAAGUUUUUACUAAUUUUCGAUAGUUUUCCAUCCAUUUUCGCCCCAAUUUUCCCCAAUUCUCCCCCAAUUUCCCUAUCCCACCCAACAGGACUCAACCAAGUUCCCAACAAGGCCCCAUAGGGUUCCUAAAGCUUUUGCUUCAUUUUUUGGGUUGGAUUUUGGGGAGUUUUUUGUUUGGAUUUUGGGGGGUUUUUUGUUUGGUUUUUGGGAUUUUUUUUGUUUGGAUUUUGGGGUUUUUUGUUCAGAUUUUGGGGUAUUCUUGUUCGUUUGGUUGCUUUUUGCAGAAGCAACAUCUGCGUGACCCCGUUGUCUUUCCUAUGAAGCAAUGCAGAACCAUUGAUGCUCAUCAAUCCACCACCAACACCGUGACCUGUUAAUUCUCAAUCUCAAGAGUCUCAUCUCUUCAGCAAACGCGGUUUUGAGCGGGAAAAUCUCCGCACAAAGCUCCUCAGGCCACUUCCAGCAGAGGGCAGAUGGUCAUUUAGUAGAAGACAAGUGAAAUACAGCCAAACACACCCAAGUGCUGCUUCCUGCCCCCGGAUAUUUGCGCUGUGGAAGGUAACAGAGCGGAUUUGGAGCUGAUACAAGUCAGACAAGGUGCAGGAGCUGUGUGUUUUGCUUUAUAUAAAUGUCGAGUAAGGGAAACUGCAGGUCUGUUGUGUACAUAGUUUACUCCAUCCUUCCGUCCCACGUGUCAGAGGGAAAUAAUUACGUUGCUCAUUGUUCCACGAGCCUGAUUUUGAUGGGGAAAACACUGCCAAAUAGAGGCUGAGCGUGAAUUCUUUGCGUGCAGCUCCAGUUUUCAUAAUAACCCUUAAAGUGAAUUUCCUCUCUUUGGGGAAAAUCAAACCGCUUCUUCUUUUCAGUCUCAAUGAUGCCCAUAAAUACGAGUUUUGCAAUGCCAUUUGGCCUCAUCCUGCAGAUGAUUCUUUGCUUAAUGGGACUAUUCAACACUUGCUCGCAAGCCAGAGCUUUCAAAAUAUAUAUUGGCCAACUGACAGAAUCAUGGAGUCACAAAAUGUGGAGGGUUGAAGGGCCCUGGAAAGCUCAUCCAGUGCAAUCCCCCCGGAGCAGGAACACCCAGAUGAGGUUACACAGGAAGGUGUCCAGGCGGGUUGGAAUGUCUGCACAGAAGGAGACUCCACAACCCCCUGGGCAGCCUGGGCCAGGCUCUGCCACCCUCACCCCAACAAGUUGCUUCUCAUCUUCCAGCGGAACCUCCUGUGUUGCAGUUUGCACCCACUGCCCCUUGUCCUGUCCCUGGUUGUCACCAGAAGAGCCUGGCUCCAUCCUCCUGACACUGCCCCUUUCCAUCUUGAUCCCCAGGAAUGAGUCCCCCCUCAGGCUCCUCUUGUCCAGCUCCAGAGCCCCAGCUCCCUCAGCCUUUCCUCACACGGGAGAUGCUCCACUCCCUCCAGCAUCUUGGUGGCUGCGCUGGACUCUCUCCAGCAGUUCCCUGUCCUGCUGGAACUGAGGGGCCACAGCUGGACACAAGAUUCCAGGUGUGGUCUCCCCAGGGCAGAGCAGAGGGGCAGGAGAACCUCUCUGACCUACUGACCACCCCCUUCUAACCCACCCCAGGUCCCAUUGGCUUCCUGGCCACAAGGGCCCAGUGCUGGCUCAUGGUCCCCCUGCUGUCCCCAGGACCCCCAGCUCCCUUUUCACUGCUCCAACAGCUCAUUCCCAACUUACACUGGAACCUGGGCUUGUUCUGCCCACAUUCAAGACUCUACACUUGCCUUUGUUCUAUUUCAUUACAUUUCUCCCCCCAGCUCUCCAGCCUGUCCAGGUCUCUGAUGGCAGCACAGCUUCCAGUGUCACCCACUCCUCCCAGCUUGGUGUCACCAGCAAAUCGCUGACAGUCACUCUAUCCAAGUCAUUGAUGAAUAUAUCGAAUAAUACAGGCCGCAGUACUAACCCCUGGGGCACUCAGAUGGGCUUAAACCUCGGGCACAGCUCCAGGCCCUGGCUUUGUAAAUCCCCCUCUCCUCCUCCAUCCUGCGAUGUAAUCGCCUUUUUUGGAUUAUUGUCCACGUGUGGCUGGGCUGAAAUACCCGGGUUUUCCCCCACGAUGCUUCAAUAGCCAGUCAGUGCAAAACCAACCGGUGUCUCCUGUUCCGCGCCACGUCAGAGGAUUUUAUUUAAAUUUUCCCAUUUCCCAUCAGCAUCUGCGCCUUCAUGCCGAUAAAAUAUCUCUUAUUCAACUCUUAGUACUAAUAGUUACUCGUCUGCUAAUUUCCCUGUGUCUUCCGUUAUUGAGAAAGCGUUGAAAUGAGAAUUAAAUGGCAAUCUGGUGACAAACAGUCACCGGGCUGGUGGGAUUUUUCAACCCUUUGAGAGGAAAAUAAGUCAUUUAAUUACAAAAUCAGGAGCCGGCGAGCGAGAGAAAACAGGUCGCAAGGGUUAAAACAAGGGAACUUGAGGUGAACUUCCCUUUGUGUGCUUAUAAUUUAGUUAUCUGGCUGGACACGUGGUACAGGAUCUGCUUUUUUUGUUGUUUUUAAGAGGAAUUGUGGGUUUUAUUCACUGAGUUUGUGCCCGUUAAGUUAAUUUCCUGUUCCAUUCUCAUGAAGCCUGUCUUUGAAUAGGAAUUACUACGGUCAAUUGGAGGAAGAAACAUUGUUUUUUGAGACUGAGAGGGCUUGUUUAUCUCAUUCGAAUCAAUACCCCGGUGCGGUAAGCGGAGUCUUUCUGUUCCUGACCCUGAGAGGGGGGUAAGAAAGGACCAGGCCGUCAAAAUCAUGCGAUAUUUGUCGCCAAUUUGAGCAAAAGUUUAUCUGACUCGCAUUAAAACCUUUGCCCUGUGGAGUAACAUUGGAGAAUUUCCCAUCUGAGGAAGGACUUGUUUGCUCUUAUGAGUCAAUUAUGAAGUUCCAGUGUAACUUGGGGAAUGAGCUGUUGAGCAGUGAAAAGGGAGCUGGGGGUCCUGGGGACAGCAGGGGGACCAUGAGCCAGCACUGGGCCCUUGUGGCCAGGAAGCCAAUGGGACCUGGGGUGGGUUAGAAGGGGGUGGUCAGUAGGUCAGAGAGGUUCUCCUGCCCCUCUGCUCUGCCCUGGGGAGACCACACCUGGAAUCUUGUGUCCAGCUGUGGCCCCUCAGUUCCAGCAGGACAGGGAACUGCUGGAGAGAGUCCAGCGCAGCCACCAAGAUGCUGGAGGGAGUGGAGCAUCUCCCGUGUGAGGAAAGGCUGAGGGAGCUGGGGCUCUGGAGCUGGACAAGAGGACACUGAGGGGGGACUCAUUGCUGGGGAUCAAGAUGGAAAGGGGCAGUGUCAGGAGGAUGGAGCCAGGCUCUUCUGGUGACAACCAGGGACAGGACAAGGGGCAAUGGGUGCAAACUGCAACACAGGAGGUUCCGCUGGAAGAUGAGAAGCAACUUGUUGGGGUGAGGGUGGCAGAGCCUGGCCCAGGCUGCCCAGGGGGUUGUGGAGUCUCCUUCUGUGCAGACAUUCCAAUCCGCCUGGACACCUUCCUGUGUAACCUCAUCUGGGUGUUCCUGCUCCGGGGGGAUUGCACUGGAUGGGCUUUCCAGGGCCCUUCAACCCCCCACAUUCUCUCAUUUUGUGUAAUUACAGCAGCCAAGUUUAAUAAAUUAUUGAGCUUUUGCAAUUUUUGAAGGUUCCAGUGCAACACGAAGCCAAAUAUGACGUGUGGCAACAUUCUCUGUGACACAAGAGCAGCUGGAAUCCACACUCACUGUUCUUCUUGUUACGUGAUCCAGAAAUAGCGUAAUAUUUGCUUAAAAAAUGCAUUAAAACAUUUGGAGAGGCCAGGAAAUUGUAGAUUUAAGAUCCUUUCAGGGUAAGGAAGAGAUGAUGAAUAUUUGAAGCAAUGGGUUGAUCUUGAUCUUUUCAAUCUCAAUUCAAAUUUAACCAGCAAGUUACCAAUAGACGUAGCUUAACUUUUAUUAACCACCAUGUCCGACCCCGACAUCACUCUUGAUGCGCUUUAAUAGUUAUAUAAAAAAGAAAGUUAAUAAAAAAAAUAAGCCAACAGUCCAGAAUGAGGGUUUACUGCAGUAUAUUAAUAUAGAUAAAUAUUUGUUUAAGAAGGAAAUUGUCUCAAUGUUUUCCGUCCCCAGCUUGCUGUAAAAUGUUGGUAGUCAACCAGUGUUUUGAGCCUUCUCUAAGGUUUUCUUAUGGAGAAGUUUGGGCUCUUUUUGUGCUUAGAUAUAUUAUUAUUAUUAUUAUUAUUAUUAUUAUUAUUAUUAUUAUUAUUAUUAUUUUAUGCUAUAUUUGUACCAUGUAACAUUUGACCUUUAACUUCAGAUUUAGAAACCUGUUAAAGUUUCUCUAACCCUUUCACACAAAUAACCGCGUUUAAUUUGAUGGGGAUUUGUGUACUAGGACUUCUUGAUUUACACAAAACCUGCUGGUUUUACUCUAGAAAACUCCGUUUCCUGAGCUUUAGAGGAUUUUAUUUUCUUUCCCUCACUAAAACUUGUGUUUCCAGAUUGUUUCACACGACCAGACGUCCCAGGAGCCUCAAACUCAGAGCGCUUGAGCUUCGCCACUUCGCUUUCUAUUCAAGGAAGAGAGGAGGAAACGCCGACUUUUUGUCUUUUUGGCGCUUUAUUUCCCAAGGUAAUGAGGACUUGGAAUUGUAACAUUAACUCCAGAAAUGCCGCCGUGCUUUAAUAUUUUGAUUUUUGCGUUAAAACCAAACGCCUUCAUUGAAUGUUGCAGAAGGAGGAACACAGGCAGCCAUAGACUAUUCCUUUGUCUUACUCAGGGAGUAAAAAACCACAACCCAUUACCUUUAGCAAGGUAAAACCGAGUUAAACUUCACAUUAAUACCAGCUUAAAUACACCUUUCCCCCGCUAACUCCACUUAUAUCGCCUAGGGCAAUAUAAUCCAUCAAUUUUCCAAGGCAAAGCGUGUUCCAUGGAGCAUUGCAGAGCUCCGGAGCACUUGUACAUUGAAUUUUUGUUUCCUGGAGGGGUGUAAUCCAUCAGGUUCUCUCCUACCAACAGUUUAGCAUGUCCUUGGUGUGGCAGAAUGCAAACCCCCCUCCCUCCUUCGAUAUGGAAGGAGUAGACAUAUCUCCCUCUCUCUGCUGCUUGAGGCCAACAGCUUCUUCUGUUUGGCCCCAGAGCCCCCUGGGCAGGGCCAUUAAGAGAGAGGAGAAUCACAGAAUCGACUGGGUUGGAAAAGACCUCAGAGAUCAUCCAGUCCAACCCUUGGUCCAACUCCAGUCCGUUUACUAGAUCAUGGCACUAAGUGCCAUGUCCAAUCUCAGUUUAAAAACCUCCAGGGACGGCGAGUCCAGCACCUCCCUGGGCAGCCAUUCCAAUGCCUGACCACUCUCUCUGUAAAGAAUUGCUUUCUAAUCUCCAGCCUAAAUUUCCCCUGGCAGAGUUGAAGCCCAUGGCCCCUUGUCCUAUUGCUGAUGCCUGGGAGAAGAGACCAAUCCCCACCUGGCCAGUGGGGAGAAGGGAGCGCCGAGGCGCCAGGGAGCCGCUGGGCACCCACGGCCACUGUGGGGCACGUUUGGAGGCUUCAGGGGCACCCACACCCAGUGUGGGGGAGCAGAGAGGCUUCUGGAAUGCCCACAGUCAGAUCUGAUCAGGCUCUAUAAAACAGGGUUCUCGCCGAGGCUCGGCCCCUUGCGCGGAUCUCUUGGCGCAUGAGCCAGAUGCUGCCGCCGAGAGCCCCCCGGGAUGGAAACUCCGCUUGCCUUGCCACCACGGGUGUGAGUAAAUUAACCCUCACAGAACUGCGAGUGUACCUACUUUCUGUGCACAUUUGCACGUGUAUUUAUUCUUUCCGUUCACAUUUGCACACGUAUUUUCCGUGCUCAACACGAGCACAGGUAUAUAUUAAUCCUCGCAGAAUCGCGGGUGUAUUUUCCUCCCGUGCUUCCACAUAAGCACGUGGAAUUUUCCGUGCACAUUUACACGUGUAUUUAUACUCUCCGUUCACAUUUGCACACGUACUUUCUGUGCUCAAUACGAGCACAUAUAUAAAUCAAUCAUCGCAGAAUCACACGCGUAUUUUCCUCCCGUGCUUCCACAUAAGCACGUGGAAUUUUCCAUGCACAUUUGCACGUGUAUUUAUACUUUCCAUGCACAUUUGCACAUGUACUUUCCAUGCUCAAUACGAGCACAUAUAUAAAUCAAUCCUCGCAGAAUCACACGCGUAUUUUCCUCCCGUGCUUCCACAUAAGCACGUGGAAUUUUCCAUGCACAUUUGCACGUGUAUUUAUACUUUCCAUGCACAUUUGCACAUGUACUUUCCAUGCUCAAUAUGAGCACAUAUAUAAAUCAAUCCUCGCAGAAUCGCAAGUGUAUUUUCCUCCCGUGCUUCCACAUAAGCACAUGUAAUAUUCCAUGCGUAUUUGCAAGUGUAUUUCUCCUCGCAGGAUUGCAAGUGUAUUAUAAAUUUACCCUCGUAGGAUUGUACUUUCCAUACUCAAUACGAGUACAUGUAUCCCUUUAAAAUAACCCCACACUGUGUGGCAAGUGUGGACCCUUCCCGGACUCAGGAGCGGCUCCGGUAUUGUUUUGGUGCUGCCACAUGUAUGCACACUGUGGACCUCCUGUUGUAUUAGUUGCUGCCCCUUCCUCAACUGAUAUCCGAACCUGUAUUCAAGUCACUUUUGGAGUGCUAAAACCCCAUUUCUCACCAGUUUAGUAAAAGUUGUUUUGGACCCUAUUAAACUAACCUCGGGGUGCCUCGACACAUGGGAUACUCCGUUAUUUGGAUUAACGUCGGUGCAGAAGAGGAUUAGGAAGCGGAGCAUCCAACAUUACGACGCGGGUCGUGUCUGUUUUACAGCCUCCAGGAGCGAAAAGCCAUUUGCGAAAGCCAUUCAUCCUCCUGAAUUAUUUGCCAUAUUACUACAAAUAAUUCCUGGUUUAUAACCCGGUCUUAGCUGAACUAAAACAAAGGGAGAACUGUUGAGGUGGAGCCACCUUCGGUAGCUCACGUGGUGCCUUUCUCGGACAGAUUCUUGCCGAGCGAACCCACAUAUGUGCAGAUUUAAAACGUGUUUGUUCCCUUAUUUGCAGCGCUUGCUGCGCCUAAAGCUGAUUCAGGGCUUAGCGGCCGGGACUAAGGGAAUUUUCCAGAGCGGCUUUUUGUUCUUCUCACAACUGUUUGUUGUGUUGUUGAAUGAUGGUUUUGCUGCGUGUGUUUUCCACGAUGCAAAUCUUUACCUUGGGAUCAGCCCCGUUUUGGUGGAAUCCUCGGGUAUUUCAGCCACCGGACUAAAGAAAACUGGGAAUCCCAUCCUGAGUUUCUCUGUUGUCCGGUGUUGCUCUUUUUCUCCAAAACACCCUGAUUUUGGAGCAGUUGAAAGAAAUAAAGCUGAGUGUUGUGCGGGGAAUCACACGGGGGUUAUUUUUGAACAUAUUUGCACACGGUUUCUUAACAAAACCGAGGAGAAUUUUGAUCUCCGCCCCGCGCUUAGGAAGAAUUUAAACUCAGUUCCACCCUCUGCUCGCCCAGCACUUGGAGGGGGUUUUUUAAGCCAAGACCAGCAGAUUUUUGGUCGGGUAAAUAACCUCCCACGGGUGUUUGGGCUUUGCCGCGUCAGGGCUUUUGUCACCCACGGUUUGUCCCUCUUGCUGUCACCUCCCAACACCCCGCGGCGAUUCUUGGUGCCAAAUCGGAUUAUUUCCUUAAUCUCGCCUUUCUCAGGUUGUUUUCCGCCAUGCCAGGGGAUUUAUUGUUAAUAAAUCAUCGCUUUGCGGUGGCAGCGCCGUCACGGACCCCGUUAGCUCGGUGACGAGGGACCGAGCGCUUGGGCCCUGUUUGCUGCUGAAGGGAAAUGUUUUGAAAUGGGGAAAUUCCACCAUUUAUAGGUAUUUUGUGCUAUUUUCCUUAAUAAAAUACCGUACUUAAUAAAAUACCGUAUUUUCCUUAAUAAAAUACCAUACUUAAUAAAAUACCGUAUUCUCCUUAAUAAAUACUC